rnacentral:rRNA from 1 species
CACGUAGGGUGCGAGCGUUGUCCGGAAUCAUUGGGCGUAAAGCGCGUGUAGGCGGCCCGGUAAGUCCGCUGUGAAAGUCCAGGCUCAACCCUGGGAUGCCGGUGGAUACUGUCGGGCUCGAGUCCGGAAGAGGCGAGUGGAAUUCCUGGUGUAGCGGUGAAAUGCGUAGAUAUGUGGAAGAACACCGGUGGCGAAAGCGGUUAUCGAACUUAAACCUGACGCUGAGGCACGAAAGCAAGGGGAGCAAACAGGAGUUAGA